rnacentral:rRNA from 1 species
GGGUCAGUAGGUUGGUCGUGCCACCGGUACGUACUGGUCUCACUGAUUCCUCCUUCCUGAAGAACCGUAAUGCCAUUAAUUUGGUGUUGCGGGGAAACAGGACUGUUACUUUGAAAAAAUUAGAGCGUUUAAAGCAAGCUAACGCUUGAAUACAUUAGCAUGGAAUAAUGAAAUAGGACGAUCGAUCCUAUUUUGUUGGUUUCUAGGAUUGACGUA